rnacentral:rRNA from 1 species
ACGGGAGGCAGCAGCUAAGAAUAUUCCGCAAUGGACGAAAGUCUGACGGAGCGACGCCGCGUGGAUGAUGAAGGUCGGAAGAUUGUAAAAUCCUUUUAUGACUGAGGAAUAAGUAUGGUGAGAGAAACGCCAUAUGGUGACUGUAGUGUAUGAAUAAGCAACGGCUAAUUACGUGCCAGCAGCCGCGGUAACACGUAAGUUGCGAGCGUUGUUCGGAAUUAUUGGGCGUAAAGGGCAUGUAGGCGGUUUUGCAAGCUUGGUGUGAAAGGCAGGAGCUUAACUCCUGGACUGCGUUGAGAACUGCAAGACUAGAGUUACUGAAGAGCAAUCAGAAUUCCAGGUGUAGGGGUGAAAUCUGUAGAUAUCUGGAAGAAUACCAAUGGCGAAGGCAGGUUGCUGGCAGAUGACUGACGCUGAGGUGCGAAGGUGCGGGGAGCAAACAGGAUUAGAUACCCUGGUA